GAGGAGAGAAGCCAUUUCUCUUACUGUCUCCUGUCUCUGAAGAGGAGGAGGAAGUAAAAGUUGAAAAACAAUAGAAAUGAAGUCAGUGGCAAGACCAGCAGGUGCCACUGAUGACCAGGCCUGAGGUUAAAAGAUUAACCCCCCACUCUAACCACAUGUGCUCUCAAUCUAUCACGACCCUUUCACGUGGAACCCCUUAGAGUUGUAAGCCCUUAAACAGGCCAGGAACUCUGUCUUCAGGGAGCUCAGCUCUUAAGACGUGAGUCUGCCGACGCUCCUGACCGAAUAAAACCUCUUCCUUCUUUAA